rnacentral:rRNA from 1 species
UAACACGUAGGGACCAAGCGUUGUCCGGAUUCAUUGGGCGUAAAGAGCUCGUAGGCGGUUCGAUAAGUCGGGUGUGAAACCUCCAGGCUCAACCUGGAGACGCCACCCGAUACUGUCGUGACUAGAGUCCAGUAGGGGAGCGUGGAAUUCCUGGUGUAGCGGUGAAAUGCGCAGAUAUCAGGAGGAACACCAGCGGCGAAGGCGGCGCUCUGGGCUGGAACUGACGCUGAGGAGCGAAAGCGUGGGGAGCGAA